UCCCUGGAGGACUAGUGGUUAGGCCACAGCGCUCUCACCGCUGCGGCCCAGGUUUGAUUCCUGGCCAGGGAC
rnacentral:tRNA from 1 species